rnacentral:lncRNA from 1 species
UCUCUCUCUCUCUCUCUCGCUGUGUGUGUGUGUGUGCACGACGCGUGUUUGCGAAUCAUGUUUUUUUUUGCUAAGGUGUGAAUCAUGUUGCUCAAUACGAUAUUUGAGUGAGGUUAGAGCGAACAAAUAAUAUAGAUAAGAUUUAAUGGUUUCUUCAAGUUAACUGAAAGGUAUCCAAAAUUAGUCAUGAGUACUGGAUUCUGGAAAAUGGAGGAGGGUUACAUCUUUCGCGUGAAAGAAAAAUUCACCUUCGUUCGCGCGAAUCCACUGUUGGAUUACCCACUGUACAGCUCUCAUGGCACUCCAAAUCCAAUUAUUCAUUCAUCUACACAAAUCUCAAAGUGACCAGUGAUGAUCCAGUGAUGGAUCCAGAUGAAGGAAGGUGAAUCCUUCCUUCCUUCAUGCCAAAGAUACAACCCCGAUCCCUGAAAAGUGGUAGUUUUGUUUUAUAUAUAUAUAUAUA